rnacentral:rRNA from 1 species
ACCCUUAGGACGAGGACAACCCCGAGAAAUUGGGGCUAAUCCGCGAUAGGUGUGAUGUCCUGGAAUGGUAUCACGCCCAAAGGUGUUCGCACGCCUAAGGAUGGGGCUGCGGCCGAUCAGGCAGUUGGUGAGGUAACGGCUCACCAAACCUUUGACCGGUACGGGCCAUGAGAGUGGUAGCCCGGAGAUGGACACUGAGACAAGGGUCCAGGCCCUACGGGGCGCAGCAGGCGCGAAACCUCCUCAAUGCACACACGUGCGAAGGGGUUACCUCGAGUGCCGCCUGAUGAAGGCGGCUUUUCCGUGGUGUAAAAAGCCUAGGGAAUAAGAGGGGGGCAAGACUGGUGUCAGCCGCCGCGGUAACACCAGCCCCUCGAGUGGUGGGGAUGAUUAUUUGGCCUAAAGCGUCCGUAGCCAGCCAGUUAAGUCUCCCGUUAAAUCCAGCGUCUCAAGCGUUGGACUGCGGGAGAUACUGUCAGGCUAGAGGGUGGGAGAGGUCUACGGUAUUCUGGGGGUAGGGGCGAAAUCCUUUGAUCCCCGGAGGACCACCAGUGGCGAAGGCUG